rnacentral:rRNA from 1 species
UACGAGGGGGGGCGAGCGUUGUUCGGAAUCAUUGGGCGUAAAGCGCACGUAGGCGGCCUGAUAAGUCGGGUGUGAAAGCCCUGGGCUCAACCCAGGAAGUGCACUCGAAACUGUCAGGCUUGAAUAUGGAAGAGGGUCGCGGAAUUCCCGGUGUAGAGGUGAAAUUCGUAGAUAUCGGGAGGAACACCAGUGGCGAAGGCGGCGACCUGGGCCAAUAUUGACGCUGAGGUGCGAAAGCGUGGGGAGCAAACAGG